GAUUCUUUUUGAGAAUGGGACCACCAUAUCUCACGUGAUCCUCUCGUGACUUUGGAGCUGGGCAGACCUAUUCCAAACUUGUUGCUCCUCCGCCGCAUACCUCUGUUUUGGACAAGAAGUGGAGUAUAGAAUGUGGGAUCAGUUUUAAGGAAUGUCUCAGACUCUCAGGCUGCUUUUAUCAGUGUUAAAGCUACUCAACAAGAACAAUGAGGGAAAGUUUUUAGAGAUCCGAUGACACCUAUCUCUAGUAGAAGACGCUACUUAGCUAUUUGUUAUACCCUUUCUAUGUGCCAUUGUUUGUUCUCUUUCUAAUUAUGGUGGAGCCAAGUAAUAUUUAGAAGCUUCCAAGAACUUAGGGGAUGCGGUGGUAGCCUGGAUUCCUUUAUUAAAAACUGUGUGGGUGAGUGCACUUCUCUCUGUCUUUGUGCGGAACCAGAAUCAGCUUCUGUGUUAUUGAUGGGUUAGGUUACCAGAUGCUUUGGGUAUUUGAUUCUCAUCUAAGUCUAACCACACUUUUAAUUAACAAAAAAGUGAAAAAUAAAGCUUCAUCUUUGUUUGGUUUGUUUAUCCACCAAAGUACUCUCUUUUACGGUGCUUCUUGGCUUGCUUUGGUUCAACCAAAAUGUCUUUA